CUCUUCAGUCUUUCGCUCAAACACACGCGCGACGUACGUUGGUUAGUUUUACAGUUUUUUUUAACUCGCCUUUUUUUAUUUUUGUCGUCUACGCCGUGGCUAAUCGUCCACCGACCGUCACAACUCUCCCAGCGACAUAAACUUUGUUUUAAGUGCAAUACCUAUGAUGAUAAUAUGUGCAAUAACCAAAAAAUAAACGAAUUAUUGCCUCCUAGUCCGUACACAUAACGCGUAACCUUGUCGUAUAAGUAUUUUUGUGUCGGGUGACCCAAAACACCUAUUGUUAGCUGAGUCGUCGCUGUUAAAAUCGACACGAAUAUUAAGCAGUGCGUAUUGUUGACGUCGUGUCGGGAAUAAUAUUAUUAUGUCGCUGUAUAGGUUCGUUUCUCCGCAGAAUGAGAUACAUUGAAAAUCGAACCGUGUGUUCGUUCGGGUCACUUUAGUUCAGUGGUUCCGGUACAACAACCAUCGAAUGCCAAUUAUGAUUAUCAGCUGCGUACAACAACGGACGAGCAAUAAAUUAUAGAGGUCUUAUCACCAAUGAAUUGACCAUCCAUUAUCUAAUAUCUAUGGGUACAACGAGCAAUGACGUCCGCUUGCGCCCCACCGCCGCCGUAUAACUGACGUGUUGUACAAUAAUUACAACAACUGCGUAGCGUCGCACGGCACGGCACAGAUGUACUGCCGACCGGUCGGCCAUUUAUUUCUAAACUUCAAUUCUUCGUCGACGGUACUGCACUACUGCAGCUUUACUCAAUACGUAGUGCUUGUGUUCGUCUCCGCGCCGCCAAACACCGACGGCCAUCUUUUCCCGUUCGGUCCGCCAUCGGCCGGCAUGACAGGUUACGUCUCAUUUCGACUGCGAGGACUCGUUGAUUCAGUGCCGACGAGUGCAGUUGUAUUCCAGUCUCGCCAUGAAACCAGGAGCGGUGGAUGCUGACUACAUGGUCCAGGGCUGGGGCAAUGGCUGUUUGUCGUGCAGAAUGACCGAAUCUGUUACCUUGUUAAUGGUUGCUGCUUAUUUUUGCUUCGGCUGCAAGCACGUGAAACCUGUGUAUUACUUCGGAACCCCGAGUAUGAUAACUUUAGCUGUGGCGAGAGCAUUAGAUUUGACACCUUUCAAUGAUUAACAUUUCAAAAUCAGUCGUGUGGUCAGAAUUUAUAUUAUGGUAAAAAAAGUUUCAGCAUCAAGGUAAAUGACAUAACUUAUUAAUGUCUUAUAACAAUUAUUUUAGUCAGAUUGUUAUACCUACCUAUUGUAGUUUGAUAAUAUUUAUAUCAGGCUGUUAUGAGUUAAAAAUGUGAUUUAAAAUGAAUAUAAGAUGAAUAAUGAAUUAAUUAAGGAGUAUGUGAUGAUGAGAUUAUAUUUUAGAAUUGCAUCUGCUUAAAAGUGCAAUUUUUAUUUGACUCAUUACUUAAAUAUUAUCACAUAGUGUGAUAUUUUAUUGGGGGAGGGAUUUAUGAGGAUGAGAGUUUUCUUUUGAUUUAAAGUCUGGGUGAAUCAAUACGUGAAGAGUAUAGAAUAAAUUUGUCACUUACUUUUCGUAGAACUUGUGAUCCAGGAUUAUUUUUGUACGAUCUUACUGGAUGUCUAUGAUAUAUGGAUGAUACUGGAUGUCAAACAGAAAAUAUGUAUUGAAAUAAUUUUCCAAUUAUCAGAAAUGUAAUAAAAUUGAUUUAUUUUUAUAUUUUAAAAGAACACAAUUUAAGUAUGAAAAUGUACAAUAAUUGAGUCAGAUUGAAUGAGCGACUGAGCGCCUUUGUGUGUCAUAUGGGUUUUUAUAGAUGAUUGCGUCAGAUGCAGCCUUUGACCGUAAUCGAAUUGUAGAUUGCAGCAGUACUCUUAUAAUUUUAUGGUUUUAAUUUUUCUCUAUACAAAUCUUUGAUUGUUGGAACAUUGAUCAGGUUAACCUAUACGUUUUAUAUUAGAUACAAUGUCCGAUAUGAAUAAUUAGCGAUGACUGCAAUUUUUAGGUUUAUAGUUUAUAGUAUGUAAAUUGAGCUGUCAGAAUUUAUGAAUCUUGCUAACUGAUAUAUAUAUCAGAAUUAUUGUAGUAGAAGUGUGCCUUUUUCUUAGUAGAAUAUUUAUAGAGUUUCUUUAAAUGAAUGCAAUAUAAAUAGUAUAACGAGUAUAAUGAGUAUAAUAAGUAACACUAGGUUUUUAACAGUUUUUUUUAGUAUGUGUUAUUUCAUCUACAUGUUUAGUACUAAACAUAAAUAAAUCAAUGGGCUUAGAAUAACAAGCGGAUAAAUCCACUAUUUAAAAAUUUUUCAGUCCUGAUAAAAAACAUUUUAUUCUUAUGAUAAAUCAAUAUAUAAUUUUAUAACAAAUAUAAAAUAUAAUCUUUGGUAUCAUUAAUUAUUAUCAUACAAUUUCUUUUCUUUUUCAUUUGGUUUUUUAUUUCUUACUACAAAACAUUUAUGACACUUUUUUUCUUAAGUUUUGUAAAUUUUACUUGUUAUAAAAUAAUAUUAACUGUAAAAUAAUGUUAUCAAUAUUCAUAGUCGGUUAGAUCUGGAUCAUUUGUAUUGCUCUCUUAAAAAUUAAAGUUAUAAUAUCAAUUAAUAAUUAUGUUAACAUAAUAUAA